AGUAUAAAAUUCAAAAUAAUACCCUAUAAUAAUACCCGAAGGGUGGUCGCCCUAGAGAACAAACAGUACCUAUAUAGGCGUAUUGCAUAUUAUUUUGAGCCUAUAUAAAUAUUUUGGAAUCGCUUACCAAAGUCGGUUCAGAACUUAUACUGCAUCGUGUUUAUCGACCUCACUUGAGUCGCCUUCCACGUCAGCUGUAGGUG